GUCUCUUGCGCUUCCGGCGGGCGCACGGUCACUUCCGCUGCUCGCGGGCCCUCUGGGCCGAAGCGACGAAGUAGGAGGAGGAGGAGGAGGAGUAGAAAGAGGUCGGUGGGCUGGGACCGGAGCCGCAGCUGCGGGCGCGCCAUGGACCGCGACCUGCUGCGGCAGUCCCUGAGCUGCCAUGGGCCCACGCUCCUGUCCCUGCUCCGCAGCGAGCAGCAAGACAACCCGCACUUCCGGGGUCUCCUAGGCCCGGCCGCGGACACGGCCCGCGGGGCGCCCCCGCUGCUGGCUAGGAAGGAGAGGAGGGGUGACAACAUUGAAAUUCAAAAAUUCAUUUCCAGAAAAGCUGAUCUUCUUUUCGCUCUUUCCUGGAAACAAAAUGCACCCACAGUUUCUGAAAUCAAUGAAGAAAAUGAAGACUAUUAUGCUAUUAUGCCACCUUUGGAGCAGUUCAUGGAUGUCCCUAGUGUUGACAGAAGAGAGCUCUUUUUCCGAGAUGUUGAACGUGGUGAUGUUGUAAUUGGAAGAAUUAGUUCCAUCCGUGAAUUUGGAUUUUUUAUGGUGUUAAUCUGCUUAGGCAGCGGCAUCAUUCGAGAUAUAUCCCACUUAGAAAUUACAGCUCUUUGUCCAUUAAGAGAUGUGCCUUCUCACAGUAACCAUGGUGAUCCUUUGUCUUAUUAUCAAACUGGUGACCUCAUACGAGCUGGAAUUAAAGAUAUUGAUCGUUACCACGAGAAGCUUGUAGUAUCUUUGUACAGCUCUUCUCUUCCACCUCACCUAUCUGAAAUGAAAUUAGGUGUAAUUAGCUCUGAAGAUCUCCCUUUACACUACAGGAGGAGCAUCGAAUUAAAUAGUAAUUCUUCAGAGUCUUAUGAAAAUGUUCUGCAACAUUCUAUGGGAUUUAUGAAUCCAGGAGGAGUUGAAUUUCUUCUAGGAAAACUAGGAAUAAGUGAAUCCAAUCCACCAUCCCUAAUGAGAGGCCUUCAGAGGACAAAUUUCUCUGAAGAAGAUUUUGCUUUUACUUUAAGGAAGAAACAGUCUGCUUCCUGGGCUUUAAAAUGUGUGAAGAUUGGAGUUGAUUAUUUUAAAGUUGGCCGCCAUGUGGAUGCUAUGAAUGAAUAUAACAAGGCUCUGGAAAUAGAUAAACAGAAUGUGGAAGCUUUGGUAGCUCGUGGAGCAUUAUAUGCAACAAAAGGAAGUUUAAACAAAGCCAUUGAAGAUUUUGAAGUAGCAUUGGAAACCUGUCCAACCCACAGAAAUGCAAGGAAGUACCUCUGCCAGACCCUCGUAGAAAGAGGUGGCCAGCUAGAAGAAGAAGAAAAACUAUUAAAUGCUGAAAGUUACUACAAGAAAGCUUUGACUUUGGAUGAAACUUUUAAAGAAGCAGAGGAUGCAUUAUCAAAACUUCACAAGCAUAUGCAGGUGAUUCUUUAUUUUCCCUUAAACAAUUACUAACUGUAAUAAACUUAUAACAAAAUUUUCCUUUUAGGAAAAACAAAUAAAUUUAGAUAAUGAGACUAUUCCCAAAACUUGUUGCUUCUUUCUUACAGAUGUUAUUGUUUUAGGCCCUGUCUCUUUUUAUAGAAUGAACCUAAAUUGAUAUUGACUUGCGUUUGCCUAAUCUUCAGUACUCAGAAGCAGAAAGUAUUUUAAAUAGGCAUUAUCAGAUUGCCUAAAUGUGCUAUAGAAUUUUGAAGACUACUAGUGACUUGUUCAUGAAAUAAAUUGAUGAAUAGCUGAGCUCUCCCUGUUUCAGUGGUGCUAUUAUUAUUUUAAUUACUAUAAUGAUUCUAAAAUACUUGUAAAAUCAUAAAUUUAAAUAAGUAGUUGAGGCUGAAUUUUCCUGUAAUACUGAUGAUGAUGUUUUCUCAUAUGCAUUUUCUUCUGAAUUGGACCGUUGCUGCUGUGUCUGUGACAUCUGGUGCUGCUCAUCCCCAACCACAAACUGGAAAAUGAUUUCUUAUGUAAAUCAUGUGUCCAACUGGGCUGCGAUAUUUUAAAAAAUGAAAUCUUUGGAAUUAAGAGAAAAACAAGCUGAAAAAGAAGAAAAGCAGAAAUCAAAGAAAAUAGAAACAAGUGCAGAAAAAUUGCGUAAGCUCUUAAAAGAGGAAAAAAGGUAAACCCAAAAUAUUCCUUUUAUUUCAAUUAAAGUGUCUACUCAAUUGAACGCAAACACCAUAUAGAGAUAAAGUAAGUAAUCAAACACUGCCUUCAGGAACUAAUAGGAGUUACAGGCUUUUUUUUUUCUGCUUAUUGAAGAAAUAUGUUAAUCCCUUGCCUUUCCUCAAGUAUGGUGAUGUCAUGCCCAAAUUGUAGCAUGAAUAUUCAAAUAUUAAUCCAUUAGAACACCUAUCUCAAUUUUACUAAGCUGAAUAAGUUACUUGUUCAUUAAGAAUAUAUAUAUGGGCUUACCAUAUGUAAGGAGCAUGCUUUGAGCUCCUCUGAUUGCACUAGUACACAAUCAUUUUAGAAGAUUGCCUAUUUGGUUGGGGUGGUGAUAAUAAAGUCUUAAGAUUAAGCUAAAUAUAUUUUGGGAGCCAAAUUAUUUUAACUCUUAUGUUUAUUUUAGGCAAAAAAAAAUUUUCUACUCUUAUUUCCAGAUAAAUCUCUGGGUACCCUGACAACAUGAAAUGUCAAGGGUGGGUGAAUGUGCUUAGCUUUUGUGCAUCUACCUGAAGAAGGGACAGUUUCGUGCCAGGAGUUAAAAUGUAGAUUCUCUCACCAAGAAUGGGGCUUCAUGAAUUAACUAUGUCUUUUUAGGUUAAAGAAGAAAAGAAAAAGAUCUACUUCCUCCUCUUCAAGUGCUUCUUCAGCUGACCAGGUGGUUUCUUCUUCAUCAUCCUCUUCCUCUUCUGGUCACAAAAAGCACAAGAAAAGGAAGAGGAACCGUUCAGAGUCCUCUCGAAAUUCCAAGAGGCAUUCCUCCAAAGCUUCUUCACACCCUCCAGAUCAGAAUAGGAAAGAGGAGAGCUACCUACUUCCAGCCAAUACCUCAGCAUCCUUUCUUAACCAAAAACAAGAGAUGGAAAAACUGCUAGAAAAUCAGGGUAGAGUAAAAGAAAGAGAAAAAAGUAACAUUCAGUCUUCAUCUUCAGCUGAAAUUCCGGAUAAUUUUGGAGGUAGGUCUGAAGAUUCAAGGGAUUUUUAUAAUAGUUCUAGAAUUCAGGCAAGUAGUAGCAAAAUUGAAAAGCCAUUUAAACCAGACAGAUACUUUUCCAGUAGACGAGAUUUCUCUGGCUCAUUCAGUAGAAAUUCAGAUGAAAAAAUAAAAAACUUUAAUAGAAAAUUUGAAAAGGGAGUAGAGGGAAGAAAAGAACAUUAUAGAAAGUGGGAGCCAGGUUCAAUGAGAUAUUCUACUUCUCCAGCAGGAUUGGACUGUUCAUGGAAGUCCGUUGAAAAAAGCAAAAAAUAUGCAAAUACUGGAUUACAUGGUUUUAAUAGAAAUGAUGAAGAGCAAAGAUCUCAAUUAAAUACAAAUCAAAAGAAAGAAUCUGAAAAUAGGGAAGAAAAUUAUGGGGAUGAGAUAGAGGAUCUUGAAGAAGAUGCAUUAAAUGGUAAAGAGCAAUCAGAAAGCAAUGUUAAGAAAAAUCUGCCUCAAAAUUUGCUCACUAUAUUUAAUCAGAUUGCUGAAUUUGAAAAAGAAAAAGGAAAUAAACAGAAAAACUGAGUAGGUGCCAAAGAAAUAGUCUCAUGUUACUAAAAGGCCAUUAAGGUGUUUUUGUCUCCACUGUCCUUUGGACAUUUACACAGACUUGAGAGAACAAACACACUUGCAAUUUUCUGUUUAAAUGUAUUGACUUCUCUGUAGCACCCCUUUCCUAGCCAGGUUAUUGAUCAUAAGCAGGAUUUUUAUCCGUAAUAGGUGUACAAACAUCAUUUUUAAGAAAAGAACAAGGGGAUUCAGUCAUUUGUUUACUUGAGGAUGUUUCCAUAUGAUCAGAAUUGAUCUUUUUGUAUGACAUUUUAUCACAUUUCUUUGCUAACCUUCUAACAGAAGUAGCCUUUUGGUUAGGUUGAGAGAAAAUUAGAUUUGCACUUUAAAGAUUCAGGCCAUGUUUACUAAAACUGAUGAUUCCAUUGUUGUUUUUCAAUUGUUAAAUGGAAUUGAGCCUUGAGCUUCUGAAAAGGUUAACAGAAUGGAACGUUCUGGAUGUGCCAUUUUGUAUCUGUAAAGCAUUGUUUUAAAUAUUAAAUUUUAUUAAAAACACAAAUAGCUUAAUUUGCA